UCCCGUUGAUCCUGCGGGAGAUCGCUGCUAUUUGGGUUCGACUAAGCCAUGCAAGUCAAGGGGGUCUUCAGACCACCGGCGAACUGCUCAGUAACACGUCGGUAACCUGCCCUUAAGUAGGGGAUAACUUCGGGAAACUGAAGCUAAUACCUUAUAGGAGAUUAAUACUGGAAUGUUUUUUUCUCUGAAAGCUACGGCGCUUAAGGAUGGGACGGCGGCAGAUUAGGUUGUUGGUGAGGUAAUGGCUCACCAAGCCAAAGAUCUGUAGGGGCCAUGAGAGUGGUAGCCCCGAGAAGGAAACUUAGACACUGUUCCUAGCCCUACGGGGUGCAGCAGGCGCGAAACCUUUACAAUGCACGCAAGUGUGAUAAGGGAACCCUAAGUGCUUUGUAUUCGCAAGGCUUUUGUCAAGAAUAAAAAUCUUGGCGAAUAAGUGGUGGGUAAGACCGGUGCCAGCAGCCGCGGUAACCCCGGCGCCACAAGUGGGGAUCACAAUUAUUGGGCCUAAAGCGUCCGUAGCCUGUUUGAUAAAUCUUUUGUGAAAUUGUUGUGCUUAACAUAACAGCGUGCAAAAGACACUAUCUAACUCGGAACUGGGAGGAGUCAGAGGUAUUCUGGGGGGGAGCGGUAAAAUGUGAUAAUCUCCAGAGGACCACCUAUGGCGAAGGCAUCUGACUAGAACAGCUUCGACGGUGAGGGACGAAAGCCAGGGGAGCAAAACGGAUUAGAUACCCGAGUAGUCCUGGCUGUAAACGCUGCGAGCAAGGUGUUGCGUAUCCUUCGUGGAUGCGCAGUAUCGAAAUGAAGAUGUUAAGCUCGCCGCCUGGGAAGUAUAGUCGCAAGACCGAAACUUAAAGGAAUUGGCGGGGGAGCACCACAAGGGGUGCGGCGUGCGGUUUAAUCUAACUCAACACAGAGAAUCUCACCAGCAGCGACGGCAGAAUGAAGGUCAGAUUGAAGGUUUUACCAGACAAGCCGAGAGGUAGUGCAUGGCCGUCGUCAGCUCGUGCCGUAAGGUGUCCUGUUAAGUCAGGCAACGAGCGAGACCUGUACCUACACUUGCUAACAAGUCUUUUCAGAUGAUUGAGCACAGUGUAGGGACUGCCUUCGAAAGAAGGAGGAAGGUGCAGGCUACGGUAGGUCUGUAUGCUCCGAAUCUGCUGGGCUACACGCGCGCAACAAUGGUAAGGACAAUGGGAUGCAACUCCGAAAGGAGAAGCUAAUCCUCGAAACCUUAUCUCAGUCCAGAUUGAGGAUUGUAACUCAUCCUCAUGACGAUGGAAUCCCUAGUAACCAGAAGUCAUCAGCUUCUAGUGAAUAUGUCCCUGCUCCUUGCACACACCGCCCGUCAAACCAUCCGAGCUAAAUCUAGAUGAGGCUUAGUCUCAGAUUAAUUCGAAUCUAGGUUUGGUGAGGCGGGUUAAGUCGUCACAAGGUA
rnacentral:rRNA from 1 species